rnacentral:lncRNA from 1 species
CCUUCUCCAGUGAAGGCACCACCAACACCACCUUUAGUUAAAUCACCACCUAUUGUGAAAGCACCUUCUCCACCAUUGGUGAAAACACCACCAUAUCAAUCACCACCAGUGAAACCAACACCACCUAUUGUGAAAUCACCUCCUUCUCCACCAUUGGUAAAAUCACCACCUUAUCAAUCACCACCUAUUGUUAAGGCACCUUCUCCCCCUCUAGUGAAACCAACUCCACCUAUUGUGAAAUCACCUCCUUCUCCUCCUUUGGUGAAAACACCACCUUAUCAAUCACCACCUAUAGUGAAGGCACCACCAACUCCUCCAC